CAGAACUGACCUCACGAGGAUAGAUAUAAAAAGUGGCAAGUGCUGCUGUUACUUUUUUGGGUAUUCUAUCCAAAAGUCACCGGCAAAUUUACAAGAUGCUACCUACAGGCAAUGCAAACAAUAUUAUUUUUAAUUUUUUAAAAAAGUCAUAAACAGAAUUUAAUAAUGUGGUAAAGAGCAGUAUAAGGCAUUGGCUAGAAACCGAGUCUCACAUCUGAAAUUGACACCGGCACUCUGACAUGUGACUAAGGACAAGACACCUUUCCUUAGUGACUUUGUCUCAUCACCUGGACCUACUUCUCAGGGAUGUUGUGAGGAUUACAGAAGUUAUUACACAGGAUAGUGCACGAAUUGAGCACAGAGCCUGGAACACAACAUUGACGAUGGGAACGUAAUGCUGUCCAUGACUCCACAAGGAAAGGACAACUGGAAGCUUCAUGUUUGGAACUUUCCUGGAAUCUAGCUUGUGUGCCUCUUCCCUUGGUUGAUUUUCAUCUGUGUACCUUAGUUGUAAUAAACUAUAACCAUGAGUUACCAGC
rnacentral:lncRNA from 1 species